rnacentral:rRNA from 1 species
AUUGAACGCUGGCGGCAGGCCUAACACAUGCAAGUCGAACGGUAACAGGAAACAGCUUGCUGUUUCGCUGACGAGUGGCGGACGGGUGAGUAAUGUCUGGGAAACUGCCUGAUGGAGGGGGAUAACUACUGGAAACGGUAGCUAAUACCGCAUAACGUCGCAAGACCAAAGAGGGGGACCUUCGGGCCUCUUGCCAUCGGAUGUGCCCAGAUGGGAUUAGCUUGGUGGUGGGGUAACGGCUCACCAAGGCGACGAUCCCUAGCUGGUCUGGGAGGAUGACCAGCCACACUGGAACUGAGACACGGUCCAGACUCCUACGGGAGGCAGCAGUGGGGAAUAUUGCACAAUGGGCGCAAGCCUGAUGCAGCCAUGCCGCGUGUAUGAAGAAGGCCUUCGGGUUGUAAAGUACUUUCAGCGGGGAGGAAGGGAGUAAAGUUAAUACCUUUACUCAUUGACGUUACCCGCAGAAGAAGCACCGGCUAACUCCGUGCCAGCCGCCGCGGUAA